AUUGAACGCUGGCGGCAUGCCUUACACAUGCAAGUCGAACGGCAGCACGGGAGCAAUCCUGGUGGCGAGUGGCGAACGGGUGAGUAAUAUAUCGGAACGUGCCCAGUCGUGGGGAUAACGUAGCGAAAGCUACGCUAAUACCGCAUACGAUCUAUGGAUGAAAGCGGGGGAUCGCAAGACCUCGCGCGAUUGGAGCGGCCGAUAUCAGAUUAGGUAGUUGGUGAGGUAAAGGCUCACCAAGCCGACGAUCUGUAGCUGGUCUGAGAGGACGACCAGCCACACUAGGACUGAGACACGGCCCAGACUCCUACGGGAGGCAGCAGUGGGGAAUUUUGGACAAUGGGCGCAAGCCUGAUCCAGCAAUGCCGCGUGCAGGAUGAAGGCCUCGGUUGUAACUGCUUUGUUACGGUAACGAACGGUAGAG
rnacentral:rRNA from 1 species